UACAGAUUUGGAAAAGAUGGAGAUUCUAUGAUUAGGUCAACCUUAAUCGAGAGGAAUUGACUUACGCUUAAAUUUCGGGACGAAAUUUCUUUAAGGAGGGUAGAUUGUAAUACCCCGAAAAAUCCAAAUUAAAUUCUGUGGAUUUUUAGAAAUGAUUUCACGAUAGUGGGAGCGAGUACGAGGCUCGGAGGAAUUGUGGAAUUAGUUCGAACGAUUAAUUUUCGAAAAAACGAACGUUAUUUAGGGGGUCUCAAAAAGUGACUUUUUAUACAUUGGGAAUUUGGGAAAACUUCCUUCAUGAAAGUUGUAGAGGACAUUAAACCGAGUGCGUGCAUAUGUGGUACGUAAAAAUCGGAGUUCGUAUGCGAAAGUUAUAAGCAAAAUAUGAAAGUUACUGUUUAUGGUAGAUUGGUAUAAAUUUGAAAUGUUACUGUAGCCAGGUAACUUUUCUUUCUUUUCUCUCUCCUUCCCCCGUGCUCUCUCAGUCUCUCUCUUCUGCAACUCUCUCUUUCUCUCUUCUGCAACCUCCUCUUUCACCACCUCUAGACCACCAAAUGGCGAGCUGCGAGCAUCGAUAGACUCGUCUCUUCCUCCUUAUCACGCAUGUGGGAGUUGUUUACGACGAUUUGGCCGGAAAUGUGGAGAUCGAAGCCAACAUUUUUACUGUAGCAAAUUAGUCAACGCCGAUUUCCGGCCACCUCCAGUCAUAAACCCAGGUCCAUUAGAAGCGCCUUAAGCCGCUCUUCAUGCUCGCCAAGUCUCAUAACCCAGAUCGAAGCAUGGAGGAAGAAAGCAUAAUUGGAAAAUUUCACUGUACAUCGGAGUGCUUAAUUGUUCGGCUACUUCAAGGUGAUUGACGGUUUGAGUUGGUGGACGAUUGUGGAUCGUAUUUUGAGCUGAAUUGAAGACGCAGCGGGAUUAUCGAGCGGGUAAUCCUACAGGACAGGAGAACCAGGACGGUGAUUGUGCGGUUAGAGCAAUUGUUAGAGUUUUACAACAAUUGUAAGUUGUGAGGUGUGUUAUGCUCAUUUGAGCUUUAUAAUAUAUUGUGAGAG